rnacentral:rRNA from 1 species
AUACGGAGGGUGCAAGCGUUACUCGGAAUCACUGGGCGUAAAGCGCGCGCAGGCGGCCCGAUAAGUUGGAUGUGCAAGCCUACGGCUCAACCGUAGAACUGCAUCCAAAACUGGCGGGCUAGAGUCUGGGAGGGGAAGAUGGAAUUAGUUGUGUAGGGGUAAAAUCCGUAGAGAUAACUAGGAAUACCAAAAGCGAAGGCGAUCUUCUGGAACAGUACUGACGCUGAGGCGCGAAAGCGUGGGGAGCAAACAGGAUUAGAUACCCUAGUAGUCC